CGGCACGGGUGAGUAACACGUAUCCAACCUGCCGUCUACUCUUGGACAGCCUUCUGAAAGGAAGAUUAAUACAAGAUGGCAUCAUGAGUCCGCAUGUUCACAUGAUUAAAGGUAUUCCGGUAGACGAUGGGGAUGCGCUCCAUUAGAUAGUAGGCGGGGUAACGGCCCACCUAGUCUUCGAUGGAUAGGGGUUCUGAGAGGAAGGUCCCCCACAUUGGAACUGAGACACGGUCCAA
rnacentral:rRNA from 1 species